rnacentral:rRNA from 1 species
AUUGAACGCUGGCGGCAGGCCUAACACAUGCAAGUCGAACGGUAACAGGAAGCAGCUUGCUGCUUCGCUGACGAGUGGCGGACGGGUGAGUAAUGUCUGGGAAACUGCCUGAUGGAGGGGGAUAACUACUGGAAACGGUAGCUAAUACCGCAUAACGUCGCAAGACCAAAGAGGGGGACCUUAGGGCCUCUUGCCAUCGGAUGUGCCCAGAUGGGAUUAGCUAGUAGGUGGGGUAACGGCUCACCUAGGCGACGAUCCCUAGCUGGUCUGAGAGGAUGACCAGCCACACUGGAACUGAGACACGGUCCAGACUCCUACGGGAGGCAGCAGUGGGGAAUAUUGCACAAUGGGUGCAAGCCUGAUGCAGCCAUGCCGCGUGUAUGAAGAAGGCCUUCGGGUUGUAAAGUACUUUCAGCGGGGAGGAAGGGAGUAAAGUUAAUACCUUUGCUCAUUGACGUUACCCGCAGAAGAAGCACCGGCUAACUCCGUG